rnacentral:rRNA from 1 species
GAUGAACGCUGGCGGCGUGCCUAAUACAUGCAAGUCGAGCGAACGGACGAGAAGCUUGCUUCUCUGAUGUUAGCGGCGGACGGGUGAGUAACACGUGGAUAACCUACCUAUAAGACUGGGAUAACUUCGGGAAACCGGAGCUAAUACCGGAUAAUAUUUUGAACCGCAUGGUUCAAAAGUGAAAGACGGUCUUGCUGUCACUUAUAGAUGGAUCCGCGCUGCAUUAGCUAGUUGGUAAGGUAACGGCUUACCAAGGCAACGAUGCAUAGCCGACCUGAGAGGGUGAUCGGCCACACUGGAACUGAGACACGGUCCAGACUCCUACGGGAGGCAGCAGUAGGGAAUCUUCCGCAAUGGGCGAAAGCCUGACGGAGCAACGCCGCGUGAGUGAUGAAGGUCUUCGGAUCGUAAAACUCUGUUAUUAGGGAAGAACAUAUGUGUAAGUAACUGUGCACAUCUUGACGGUACCUAAUCAGAAAGCCACGGCUAACUACGUGCCAGCAGCCGCGGUAAUACGUAGGUGGCAAGCGUUAUCCGGAAUUUAUGGGGCGUAAGCGCGCGUAAGGCGGUUUUUUAGUCUGAUGUGAAAGCCCACGGCUCAACCGUGGAGGGUCAUUGGAAACUGGAAAACUUGAGUGCAGAAGAGGAAAGUGGAAUUCCAUGUGUAGCGGUGAAAUGCGCAGAGAUAUGGAGGAACACCAGUGGCGAAGGCGACUUUCUGGUCUGUAACUGACGCUGAUGUGCGAAAGCGUGGGGAUCAAACAGGAUUAGAUACCCUGGUAGUCCACGCCGUAAACGAUGAGUGCUAAGUGUUAGGGGGUUUCCGCCCCUUAGUGCUGCAGCUAACGCAUUAAGCACUCCGCCUGGGGAGUACGACCGCAAGGUUGAAACUCAAAGGAAUUGACGGGGACCCGCACAAGCGGUGGAGCAUGUGGUUUAAUUCGAAGCAACGCGAAGAACCUUACCAAAUCUUGACAUCCUUUGACAACUCUAGAGAUAGAGCCUUCCCCUUCGGGGGACAAAGUGACAGGUGGUGCAUGGUUGUCGUCAGCUCGUGUCGUGAGAUGUUGGGUUAAGUCCCGCAACGAGCGCAACCCUUAAGCUUAGUUGCCAUCAUUAAGUUGGGCACUCUAAGUUGACUGCCGGUGACAAACCGGAGGAAGGUGGGGAUGACGUCAAAUCAUCAUGCCCCUUAUGAUUUGGGCUACACACGUGCUACAAUGGACAAUACAAAGGGCAGCGAAACCGCGAGGUCAAGCAAAUCCCAUAAAGUUGUUCUCAGUUCGGAUUGUAGUCUGCAACUCGACUACAUGAAGCUGGAAUCGCUAGUAAUCGUAGAUCAGCAUGCUACGGUGAAUACGUUCCCGGGUCU